GAUGAACGCUGGCGGCGUGCUUAACACAUGCAAGUCGAACGGGAUCCAUCAGGCUUUGCUUGGUGGUGAGAGUGGCGAACGGGUGAGUAAUGCGUGACCGACCUGCCCCAUACACCGGAAUAGCUCCUGGAAACGGGUGGUAAUGCCGGAUGCUCCGACUCCUCGCAUGGGGUGUCGGGAUAGAUUUCAUCGGUAUGGGAUGGGGUCGCGUCCUAUCAGGUAGUCGGCGGGGUAACGGCCCACCGAGCCUACGACGGGUAGCCGGCCUGAGAGGGCGACCGGCCACAUUGGGACUGAGAUACGGCCCAGACUCCUACGGGAGGCAGCAGUGGGGAAUAUUGCACAAUGGGCGCAAGCCUGAUGCAGCGACGCCGCGUGCGGGAUGACGGCCUUCGGGUUGUAAACCGCUUUUGAUCGGGAGCAAGCCUUCGGGUGAGU
rnacentral:rRNA from 1 species